rnacentral:rRNA from 1 species
GACAGAGGAUGCAAGCGUUAUCCGGAAUGAUUGGGCGUAAAGCGUCUGUAGGUGGCUUUUAAGUCCGCCGUCAAGUCCCAGGGCUCAACCCUGGACAGGCGGUGGAAACUACCAAGCUGGAGUACGGUAGGGCAGAGGGAAUUUCCGGUGGAGCGGUGAAAUGCGUAGAGAUCGGAAAGAACACCAACGGCGAAAGCACUCUGCUGGCCGACACUGACACUGAGAGACGAAAGCUAGGGGAGCGAAUGGG